GACGAACGCUGGCGGCGUGCUUAACACAUGCAAGUCGAACGGAAAGGCCCUGCUUUUGUGGGUUGCUCGAGUGGCGAACGGGUGAGUAACACGUGAGUAACCUCCCCUUGACUUUGUGAUAACUUCAGGAAACUGGGGCUAAUACCGGAUAGGAGCUCCUGCUGCAUGUUGGGGGUUGGAAAGUUUCGGCGGUUGGGGAUGGACUCGCGGCUUAUCAGCUUGUUGGUGGGGUAGUUGCUUACCAAGGCUGUGACGGGUAGCCGGCCUGAGUGGGUGACCGGGCACAUUGGGACUGAGAGACGGCCCAGACUCCUACGGGAGGCAGCAGUGGAGAAUAUUGCACAAUGGGCGGAAGCCUGAUGCAGCAACGCCGGGUGCGGGAUGACGGCCUUCGGGGUGUAAACCGAUUUCGCCGGUGACGAAGAGUGAGUGACGGUAAUGGGUAAAGAAGCACCGGCUAACUACGUG
rnacentral:rRNA from 1 species